GCCGCCAUGAUGGAAUUGGCAGACAUACCUGACUUAAAAUCAGGAAUCGGAAACGAUGUGCCGGUUCAAAUCCGGCUGGCGGCACCA
rnacentral:tRNA from 1 species